UUUUAUUACGGAAUCUAAUAGCUGGUUUCAAGAGUUGUUCAAAACGCUAUAAUAAAGUUAUCUUUUCUUAAGUAUUUUUUGAGUUAUGACGUUUAACAUUUCUAUAUCUGGAUAAAAAAACUGUACACGGGCUUAUUAGUCAAAAAAUGUAAAUUUUACAAAAAAGUGUUUCAGAUAAAAGUUGUAGGGCAUAAAAUGGUCUAUCUUCUGAUGAUACCAGUUUGCCCUAGAGAAAUGUCUCCUACUAUUAUAAUAUAAUAAAUCUAUAAUAUAAUUCUAUAAUAAUUCUUUUUCGGUACUAAAUUGGCUAGAAACUAAUUACUUAUUUUGAGUAUUGAAAGUACUGUUAUAAAUACUCAAAAUAAAUAAUUAAUUAUUGUUCAAUUUAAUUUUGACACUAAUUUACAAAGAUGUUUUUAGAUUCUUUCUUACCGUAUAAUCUCUGUUCGUACGGUUAAGGAUUUAAAAAUAUAAUUUUUCACAUUGUUCUUUUAUAAAAAAUAAAACAAUUUAAUUUAAUUUAAUUUAAAAAAUUAUUUAUUAUUGUAUUAAAAUAAAAAAAAUAAAAUUUAAUUUUUUUUGCUAAUUUUUAUUUUAUUUAAGUUUGUGUUAAUUUUUUUUGAUUAAUUUUUUUGAUUAAUCAUUGGUCAUAAUGCACGAAUAUUUACAAAGGAGCGCGCGUCUUGAACUUGCCGCGACACUUGUAUAAAUUCAGAUGUCUAGGCAUUUCUGUCCACGUGUGUACCAUAAUGUAUGUAUAAAUUCGAUAUAUAAAGUUUAUAUUAUGUAGUACAAGGGGACGUGAGGUGGUCGUGAACUAUUUGCAUUACGAGCGCAAGACCGCUCUUGCAACUUUACAACCUCAUAGUGGACGUUCCAUAAUGCUUAGCAGUAGCAAAGAAAUUAUUUUCUUUAAUUAUUUUGUUUAAUAAUUAAAUUAAUAUUAAUAGCAAUCUACGUUACCGAAGUUAAUGAAACCAGUUAAAUUAAUUGUUCAUUAAUAUGUAAAACUGACAAAAUAUACAUUCCAAGAAACUUCAAUUAAUAAUAUAAUCCUUAUCCAGUUAUCUGACUGCAAUUUGGUCUGGUUUACACCUACGACGUUUAGAUAGGACAAUCGAUACGUUUCUCAGUUCAUGUUCUUACGAAAACCGAUUUGACAAAUUGUCGUCUCUCUUAUUGAGCCGCACCUGCAAUUAAUUCGACGACAACGUCGCCUUUCUGGCAUAGCUCCCGGGGGAACGUCUCCUAAGUCAAAUUGUUAAGCAUCAAGCCCGUCGUCAUCAUCUUUGACGAACCGCAAGCCACGGCGCUUACGACGACGAAAUCGCUCGACGUUCGAUCCGACCGCAAAACUGAAUUAAUUCUCGCCACGCAUCUCGCGAGUCAUCCCGAUCCGAGAGAGUGGUGGAGACGUUUAGACAUCAUCGGAAGUCCUCAAGCGGGGCCUCAAUCGAGCGCGAGUCGCGCCGCGCCGGUAGCAUGUAGGUAUACGCACCGAACUGACAAGGAGCUCUGCUCAAUUUAAUAGCUCCCACGAACAAUGGCGCCUGACAAGAAGAUCCGGCCGCUGGUAACGGCACGAAUUAUCGAGGUGAAUGACGAUUCGAGAUACAGUAAAUCGCGAAUUGGAGAAUCGACGGAAUUGAGAAUAAUUCGAUCCGGCAAGGAAACACGGGUUUGGAAAAUCGAGUUAUCGCAUAUUCAGAGAAGCGAUCGAAUCCAAAUUUCUUACGAAGUAUAAAAUAACAGUGUCGUUAUUGCAUGCAAUAACGAUUGAACGUUGUACGAGAUCGAGUUCUUUUUUUUUAAACCUAACCUCAUGUAUACCGAUUUCUAAUAAUUUUACGAGUUCGAAAACUCCCUCCUUUACAGAAGCCGUAGUUAAUAUCCUUUUUCUUCGCAUUUCGCAACUCUACGUCGAUACGUGUUACGUAACCAUACAUAUAUAGUAUAUAUAUAUACAUGUGGCGUACGACUUUGUCGGGUAUUUCUUCGGAGAACGAGAAUUGGUUUAAGGAAGUCAUGUAGUGGACAUCGAUCCCUCGGCUCUCUCUUACUACCUGACAUCGCGUAUCGAGCUUAUCCCGAAAUACGAAAUACAUUUCUAUUAUGUGCGCGGCCAUAAAUCUGACGCGGUAUAAAAUACGCGUCGGGCGAAAACAAGGACCGAUAGAAGACUAUCCGAUAAUGGAGAAACAUGGUGAGGUAUUCGUGCUCAAUAUUCGUUAUGUCUCUGUGGAAAACUUAAUGAAUUCAGCGUUCAAGAAAGGCAACUAAGAGAACGUGGAUAUGCUGAAAUGUUAAAGCCUAGACUAUGCUGACAGAACACUUUUAUCGACUUUUAUCGAAGUCUGUCCUCCGUUUUCGAUGUCAGAUGAUGAAGGAAAACGCGUGGGUAGUUGGUGACAAUCGAUAUCAAGUAUUGUUCGCAAGUUGUAAGAGUUCUUAAAUAUAACUAACUUUCAUCACAA